rnacentral:rRNA from 1 species
GACGGGUGAGUAACGCGUGGGUAACCUGCCCAUAAGUGGGGAAUAACAGUUGGAAACGACUGCUAAUACCGCAUAAGCUGAGCAAUCAGUAAAGGAGGCUAACGCUUCCGCUUAUGGAUGGGCCCGCGUCUGAUUAGCUUGUUGGUGGGGUAAUGGCCUACCAAGGCAACGAUCUGUAGCCGGCCUGAGAGGGUGGACGGCCACACUGGGACUGAGACACGGCCCAGACUCCUACGGGAGGCAGCAGUGGGGAAUAUUGCGCAAUGGGGGAAACCCUGACGCAGCGACGCCGCGUGAGCGAAGAAGGCCUUAGGGUCGUAAAGCUCUGUUUUAAGGGACGAAUAUCUUCAGUAGUAACUGACUGGGGAAUGACGGUACCUUAAGAGAAAGCCCCGGCUAACUACGUGCCAGCAGCCGCGGUAAGACGUAGGGGGCGAGCGUUGUCCGGAAUUACUGGGCGUAAAGAGCACGUAGGCGGGAUUUUAAGUCAGGUGUGAAAGACCGUGGCUCAACCACGGGGUUGCACAUGAAACUGGAAUUCUUGAGGGCAGGAGAGGAAAGUGGAAUUCCUGGUGUAGCGGUGAAAUGCGUAGAAAUCAGGAGGAACACCGGUGGCGAAGGCGACUUUUUGGACUGACCCUGACGCUGAGGUGCGAAAGCGUGGGUAGCAAACAGGAUUAGAUACCCUGGUAGUCCACGCUGUAAACGAUGGAUACUAGGUGUGGGAGGUAUCGACCCCUUCCGUGCCGCAGCAAACGCAAUAAGUAUCCCGCCUGGGGAGUACGGUCGCAAGGCUGAACUCAAGGAUUGACGGGGCCAGCACAA